rnacentral:rRNA from 1 species
GACGAACGCUGGCGGCGUGCUUAACACAUGCAAGUCGAACGGAAAGGCCCUGCUUUUGUGGGGUGCUCGAGUGGCGAACGGGUGAGUAACACGUGAGUAACCUGCCCUUGACUUUGGGAUAACUUCAGGAAACUGGGGCUAAUACCGGAUAGGAGCUCCUGCUGCAUGGUGGGGGUUGGAAAGUUUCGGCGGUUGGGGAUGGACUCGCGGCUUAUCAGCUUGUUGGUGGGGUAGUGGCUUACCAAGGCUUUGACGGGUAGCCGGCCUGAGAGGGUGACCGGCCACAUUGGGACUGAGAUACGGCCCAGACUCCUACGGGAGGCAGCAGUGGGGAAUAUUGCACAAUGGGCGGAAGCCUGAUGCAGCAACGCCGCGUGCGGGAUGACGGCCUUCGGGUUGUAAACCGCUUUCGCCUGUGACGAAGCGUGAGUGACGGUAAUGGGUAAAGAAGCACCGGCUAACUACGUGCCAGCAGCCGCGGUGAUACGUAGGGUGCGAGCGUUGUCCGGAUUUAUUGGGCGUAAAGGGCUCGUAGGUGGUUGAUCGCGUCGGAAGUGUAAUCUUGGGGCUUAACCCUGAGCGUGCUUUCGAUACGGGUUGACUUGAGGAAGGUAGGGGAGAAUGGAAUUCCUGGUGGAGCGGUGGAAUGCGCAGAUAUCAGGAGGAACACCAGUGGCGAAGGCGGUUCUCUGGGCCUUUCCUGACGCUGAGGAGCGAAAGCGUGGGGAGCGAACAGGCUUAGAUACCCUGGUAGUCCACGCUGUAAACGGUGGGUACUAGGUGUGGGGUCCAUUCCACGGGUUCCGUGCCGUAGCUAACGCUUUAAGUACCCCGCCUGGGGAGUACGGCCGCAAGGCUAAAACUCAAAGGAAUUGACGGGGCCCCGCACAAGCGGCGGAGCAUGCGGAUUAAUUCGAUGCAACGCGUAGAACCUUACCUGGGUUUAACAUGGAUCGGGAGCGCUCAGAGAUGGGUGUGCCUCUUUUGGGGUCGGUUCACAGGUGGUGCAUGGCUGUCGUCAGCUCGUGUCGUGAGAUGUUGGGUUAAGUCCCGCAACGAGCGCAACCCUUGUUCACUGUUGCCAGCACGUUAUGGUGGGGACUCAGUGGAGACCGCCGGGGUCAACUCGGAGGAAGGUGGGGAUGACGUCAAGUCAUCAUGCCCCUUAUGUCCAGGGCUUCACGCAUGCUACAAUGGCUGGUACAGAGAGUGGCGAGCCUGUGAGGGUGAGCGAAUCUCGGAAAGCCGGUCUCAGUUCGGAUUGGGGUCUGCAACUCGACCUCAUGAAGUCGGAGUCGCUAGUAAUCGCAGAUCAGCAACGCUGCGGUGAAUACGUUCCCGGGGCU